AUACGGAGGAUCCGAGCGUUAUCCGGAUUUAUUGGGUUUAAAGGGUGCGCAGGCGGCCAUUUAAGUCAGCGGUUAAAUCGUGGGGCUCAACCCCAUUCUGCCGUUGAUACUGGGUGGCUUGAUUGCGGUCGAGGUUGGCGGAAUUCGUUGUGUAGCGGUGAAAUGCUUAGAUAUCACGAAGAACUCCGAUCGCGAAGGCAGCUCACCGGGCCGGAAAUGACACUGAUGCUCGAAAGUGCGGGUAUCAAACAGGAUUAGAUACCCUGGUAGUCCGCACAGUAAACGAUGAAUACUCGCUGUUUGCGAUACACGGUAAGCGGCCAAGCGAAAGCGUUAAGUAUUCCACCUGGGGAGUACGCCGGCAACGGUGAAACUCAAAGGAAUUGGCGGGG
rnacentral:rRNA from 1 species